rnacentral:lncRNA from 1 species
AUGUAUAAGGUGCAUUUUCAUUGUUUCUGUGUUAGAAGGGUAUUUUGGUCAUUUUGUGAGAACAGGUAAAUUAUAAGUUUUGGUGAGAAUUACUUUUGGUGAGUAGUGAGAACCGAUGUUUUACUAAGUUACUAGAGUAAUAUUUAAGGUUUAGUGAAUUACCGUUAGAGUGUAGAAACAUUCAAGAUGUAAAUAGAAAUGGGUUAAGUCCAUUAAGUGGAGGGUUGGGUCCAUUAAGGAGACUUGAUAUAAAAACCUACACUUAUGAGAAAUUUCCUCAUACUUUCAUUCAUAAGAUAUUUUUGGAGAGAAUAGAGAGAGAAAGUGGGAGAAAGAGGAGAAAAGGGUUAGAGAGAAGAGGACUUGAAGAAUCAAGGGUUGGGAGAAGAGCUAGGAGCAAAAUUGAAGCCUAAGCUAGAGAGAUUAACCUACUAAGACGUUGUGCAGGAUUAGUUGCUCGGUGAGUUUUUGUGCUUG